rnacentral:rRNA from 1 species
GAUUAAGCCAUGCAUGUCYAAGUAUAAGCAAUCUAUACGGUGAAACUGCGAAUGGCUCAUUAAAUCAGUUAUCGUUUAUUUGAUAGUACCUUACUACAUGGAUAACCGUGGUAAUUCUAGAGCUAAUACAUGCUAAAAACCCCGACUUCGGAAGGGGUGUAUUUAUUAGAUAAAAAACCAGCGCCCUUCGGGGCUCCUUGGUGAUUCAUAAUAACUCAACGAAUCGCAUGGCCUUGCGCCGGCGAUGGUUCAUUCAAAUUUCUGCCCUAUCAACUUUCGAUGGUAGGAUAGUGGCCUACCAUGGUAUCAACGGGUAACGGGGAAUUAGGGUUCUAUUCCGGAGAGGGAGCCUGAGAAACGGCUACCACAUCCAAGGAAGGCAGCAGGCGCGCAAAUUACCCAAUCCCGACACGGGGAGGUAGUGACAAUAAAUACUGAUACAGGGCUCUUUYGGGUCUUGUAAUUGGAAUGAGUACAAUUUAAAUCCCUUAACGAGGAACAAUUGGAGGGCAAGUCUGGUGCCAGCAGCCGCGGUAAUUCCAGCUCCAAUAGCGUAUAUUAAAGUUGUUGCAGUUAAAAAGCUCGUAGUUGAACCUUGGGCCUGGCUGGCCGGUCCGCCUCACCGCGUGUACUGGUCCGGCCGGGCCUUUCCUUCUGGGGAGCCGCAUGCCCUUCACUGGGCGUGCCGGGGAACCAGGACUUUUACUUUGAAAAAAUUAGAGUGUUCAAAGCAGGCCUUUGCUCGAAUACAUUAGCA